AUCGUUGAGCUGCAUUGGCGGGAUUUCGCCGUCUUCGUUUCUCUUUCUUCGCGGACGAACACGCGCUGGGCCUGCAACGGCAGGGUCCAGGGUCCUUAACGGGAUGUGCGUUAGGGGCUUGUAGCUCAGUUGGUUAGAGCGCGCGCUUGAUAAGCGUGAGGUCGGAAGUUCAAGUCUUCCCAGGCCCACCACACUCAUCGAGUGAGCAUUCGUCUUCUGGUUACGGGGCCAUAGCUCAGCUGGGAGAGCGCGUGCUUUGCAAGCAUGAGGUCGUCGGUUCGAUCCCGUCUGGCUCCACCAGAUGGUUUGAUCACCGAGAUCUUGUACCGUCGUCCGCGAAACAUCACUUCGCAUUCACUAGUCUGGAUAGACAGUGAACUGCGUGUUUUCUGACAUCGUAAAGAGGAGAUCGAUCCGAGUUGGGUCGUGUAGCAGAUUGCUGCGCGAGCCUUCAUUAUCUCCGGAUCAUUUUCGGCGCUCGCGUCCGACCGCAAGGUUGGCUCGCGAGUUGUAAAAUGAUCCUUUUAGCGAAGCUUGACCGCCUCGCUAUCGGAACGAUCUUACGAAGCAAGCUGGUCUUUCUAGUCAAUGUCCGGCUGCAGAUAGCGUUCAUCGAGGGCGCGUGCCGCAAGGCAGUUCUGCAGACAACAUUCUGCCGAGUGUGUGGACAUUGAUAAUGAGAGCAAUCAAGUGCCUUAAGGUGUUCGGUGGAUGCCUUGCGCUGAGAGGCGAUGAGGACGUGCUACGCUGCGAUAAGCCGUGGGGAGCUGCGAAGAGCUUUGAUCCGCGGAUUU
rnacentral:misc_RNA from 1 species